ACGAACGCUGGCGGCGUGCUUAACACAUGCAAGUCGAACGGAAAGGCCCUGCUUUUGUGGGGUGCUCGAGUGGCGGACGGGUGAGUAACACGUGAGUAACCUGCCCUUGACUUUGGGAUAACUUCAGGAAACUGGGGCUAAUACCGGAUAGGAGCUCCUGCUGCAUGGUGGGGGUUGGAAAGUUUCGGCGGUUGGGGAUGGACUCGCGGCUUAUCAGCUUGUUGGUGGGGUAGUGGCUUACCAAGGCUUUGACGGGUAGCCGGCCUGAGAGGGUGACCGGCCACAUUGGGACUGAGAUACGGCCCAGACUCCUACGGGAGGCAGCAGUGGGGAAUAUUGCACAAUGGGCGGAAGCCUGAUGCAGCAACGCCGCGUGCGGGAUGACGGCCUUCGGGUUGUAAACCGCUUUCGCCUGUGACGAAGCGUGAGUGACGGUAAUGGGUAAAGAAGCACCGGCUAACUACGUG
rnacentral:rRNA from 1 species